AUUGAACGCUGGCGGCAGGCUUAACACAUGCAAGUCGAGCGGAGAUGAGGUGCUUGCACCUUAUCUUAGCGGCGGACGGGUGAGUAAUGCUUAGGAAUCUGCCUAUUAGUGGGGGACAACAUUCCGAAAGGAAUGCUAAUACCGCAUACGUCCUACGGGAGAAAGCAGGGGAUCUUCGGACCUUGCGCUAAUAGAUGAGCGUAAGUCGGAUUAGCUAGUUGGUGGGGUAAAGGCCUACCAAGGCGACGAUCUGUGGCGGGUCUGAGAGGAAGAUCCGCCACACUGGGACUGAGACACGGCCCAGACUCCUACGGGAGGCAGCAGUGGGGAAUAUUGGACAAUGGGGGGAACCCUGAUCCAGCCAUGCCGCGUGUGUGAAGAAGGCCUUAUGGUUGUAAAGCACUUUAAGCGAGGAGGAGGCUACUGAGACUAAUACUCUUGGAUAGUGGACGUUACUCGCAGAAUAAGCACCGGCUAACUCUGUGCCAGCCGCCGCCGUAACAC
rnacentral:rRNA from 1 species